GAACCAGUGACCCCUGGAGUCCUGCCAGAGUCCUGAAGUAAAAACGCUUUAGCCUACUGAGCUAUUCCGCCGAGUACACAUUCUUGACGUAUUUUAUACCUUAUAUAAGCAAUCUUCGUAGUUUCACAAAAUUUAACGACAAAAACAGAACUCUCCAAAUUAUUCAAUCGUUUCGCGUUGCAAUGUUUUAUAAUUUUUAACCAGGUUUUCCGAAGGAAAAAACUGGUUAUUAGAUUGGCGAAUGCGGGCGGGCUGGCUGGCUGGCGGGCUGGCGGAAUAAGCUUGUCCGGGCCAUAACUAUGUCGUUCAUUGUCAGAUUUUAAAAUCAUUUGGCACAUUUGUUCACCAUCAUUGGACGGUGUGUCGCGCGAAAUAAUUACGUCGAUAUCUCCAAGGUCAAGGUCACACUUUGAGUUCAAAGGUCAAAAAUGGCCAUAAAUGAGCUUGUCCUGGCCAUAACUAUGUCAUUCAUUGUGAGAUUUUAAAAUCAUUUGGCACAUUUGUUCACCAUCAUGGGACGGUGUGUCCCACGAAAGAAUCACGUCAAUAUCUCCAAUGUCAAGGUCGCCACGACUAAAAAUAGAUUUAAAAAAAAAAAAAAAACUUACAAAGGGGGUUAAUUUUUUUUGGUCAUUUCAAAA